rnacentral:rRNA from 1 species
AUGUUAGAACAUUUCUGUGAAUGCUAUUUCGAUCUAAGUGGUCCUAUUCUCUGUCCCGUGCUAGGAAGCAUUACUCCUCUUUUCAUUUCAAAUUCUUCAAUAAGACCGAUACGAUUGAUUGGUCUGUGCGUUUCUCUUAUUACUUUUUUGUAUCCCCCUGUUCCUCGGAUACAAUUCGAUCCUUCUACGGCCAAAUCUCAAUUUGUGGAAAGCCUUCGAUGGCUUCCUUAUGAAAACAUCCAUUUGUAUAUGGGUAUAGACGGUCUUUCAUUAUUCUUCGUGAUAUUGACCACAUUUCUGAUCCCUAUUUGCAUUUCAGUGGGCUGGUCUGGUAUGAGAAGUUUUGGGAAAGAGUAUAUUACAGCAUUUCUAAUUCGUGAAUUUCUAAUGAUCGCCAUGUCCUGCAUGCUGGAUCCUCUACUAUUCUAUGUUCUUUCCGAAAGCGUGCCAAUCCCUAUGUUCAUCAUUAUAGGGGUAUGGGGUUCGAGACAAAGAAAGAUCAAUGCAGCAUAUCAUUUUUUCCUAUAUACUUUACUGGGAUCCGUUUUUAUGCUAUUAGCUAUUCUGUUGAUUCUUCUCCAAACAGGAACCACCGAUUUACAAAUUUUAUUAACCACUGAAUUUAGUGAGCGGCGCCAAAUCCUUCUAUGGAUUGCUUUUUUCGCCUCUUUUGCCGUCAAAGUGCCUAUGGUACCAGUUCAUAUUUGGUUACCCGAAGCCCAUGUAGAGGCACCUACGGCUGGAUCCGUCAUCUUGGCUGGAAUUCUUUUAAAAUUGGGAACCUACGGGUUUUUAAGAUUUUCCAUACCCAUGUUUCCCGAGGCGACACUUUGUUUCACUCAUUUCAUUUAUACUCUAAGCGCGAUUGCUAUAAUAUAUACUUCCUUAACCACUUUAAGACAGAUCGAUCUUAAGAAGAUCAUUGCCUACUCCUCAGUAGCCCAUAUGAAUUUGGUGACUAUUGGUAUGUUUAGUUGGAACAUACAGGGAAUUGGAGGUAGCAUUUUACUUAUGUUAAGUCAUGGACUGGUUUCUUCAGCCCUUUUUCUAUGUGUUGGUGUUCUAUAUGACCGACAUAAGACUCGACUUGUUAGAUAUUAUGGAGGUUUAGUGAGCACCAUGCCGAAUUUCUCUACCAUUUUCUUCUUUUUCACUUUAGCCAAUAUGAGUUUACCCGGCACUAGCUGCUUUAUCGGGGAAUUUCUAAUCUUAGUAGGAGCUUUCCAAAGAAAUAGCUUAGUAGCCACAUUAGCUGCGCUUGGGAUGAUUUUAGGCGCGGCGUAUUCCCUGUGGCUAUAUAAUCGUGUGGUUUCUGGAAAUUUAAAACCCGAUUUCCUCUAUAAAUUCUCCGAUCUAAAUGGCAGAGAAGUUUCCAUAUUUCUACCUUUUCUUGUUGGAGUUGUUCGGAUGGGUGUUCACCCCAAAGUGUUCCCGGACUGCAUGCAUACAUCCGUAAGUAACUUAGUGCAACAUGGCAAAUUUCAUUGA